GAAAUGCGAUACGUAAUGCGAAUUGCAGAAUUCAGUGAAUCAUCAAAUCUUUGAACGCAAAUUGCGCUCACAGGAUAGGCCUGGGAGCAUGCCUCUUUGAGUAUCGUUUUCAUCUCCAUCUCAAUCCUUUUUUGGGAUUGGACAAUGAGUUGGUCUCACUCGAACAGGUGAGUCACUUUAAGUUGCGAUAAGAUUCAAACCUUCUCCUAGUGUGCUUUUCUCUUCAUUGAGAAAAGGCGCAAUAUCAUCGGCCCUCACUAGUUGAUGUGGAUAAUCUAUUUUUCUUACAUCACUUGGUGUUGUUUUGGCUAUGUGCUGUGUAAAACACUAAAAAUGAGAACAACCUGAACUUAGUGGAAAUUAAAAUUAUUUUUUGAAUUAGAUCUCAAAUGAAGCAAGA
rnacentral:misc_RNA from 1 species